ACCAUCAACUUCUUCUUGCAUGGUAUCUGGACUGUGAAGUUAGGAGGAUUACAGUAAACGAAUGUUCCAAUUUUGAACUUUAUGAUUCAUGUAGCACUCAAAGAAAAUGUCAUGUGGUCAAAACAAUGACCAAAUUAAUUCAUUUUCUCCGGCUAAUGUGGGUACCUAUUACGGUGGACAUCUUUAAAAAGUUCUAAAUCUCAGAAGCCAAGAGCUUUACCAUUUAGCCAGCAAUUUAUUCAGAACAAUUUGAGAAAAGUAUUAAUAAGAAACUUUUUUUUUUCUGAAACCAUAAAAUUACAAUAAAAACAUUUUAAAAAGCUGUUUUGUAAAAAAUGGAUAAGACACAGUAAACAACAUAGAAAGAAAUAAACAUCAAGAAUAUAAAUUUUACUCUUUUAUAUGGAUACAAAUGUGUUUAUUAGAAAUGCUAAACAUAUAUCUACAUAAAAUGUCAGUAAAUUUAUUUCAUUAUAUACACACAGUUCAGAAUGUUUAUUAAACUGGUUUAGCUUCCACUUUAAGACCUAAGGAUCUAUAGGACAGAUAAAUAGUAAACAGCAUCUAAAUCUGUAGCAAACAGUCAACAUUUAAUUAGGACAAAACAAUUUUCAUUUUUCUCAACAACUUUCAGGUAGCCCAUGCAGCUGGGUGGACUCAGAAAUCUUCCUAACAAAACUAGCACUCAUAAACUUUGUUAACUGGGCCACCAAAUCAUAUGUAACAAAAAGAAUUUAGCACUUAUUUUUUCCCAUGUUCCAUUUUUUCCCAGAAUCAGUU